GGGGUUGUAGCUCAGUGGUAGAGUGCUUGCCUUGUAGGCAUGAGGCUCUCCCUGGGUUUGAUCCUCAGCAUCACAU
rnacentral:tRNA from 1 species